GGCAUGGUAGCUCAGUUGGUUAGAGCAUUGUCUUGAUAGGCCAAGGUUGUGAGUUCUAUCCCUGGUCAUGUCA
rnacentral:tRNA from 1 species